ensembl:snoRNA Gm23267 predicted gene, 23267
CAUGCCCCUAGAGGCCUUGCAGAUGUGGCUGCUGUGUCACAUGUGCAACAGUAGAUGACAGAGAGAGGUUAUGUCUAUGCUCAGUGUUCCAACUUAUGAACAUCUUAAUGAUUAGCCUAGCAUU